CCUGGGCAUCUCAUAAAAGUGCAAAUUCUGGUUCAGAAGGUCGGGGAUUCUGUAUUUCUAACAAGCUCCCAGGUGAUUC
rnacentral:miRNA from 10 species